GCCAGCCUGCCAGUGACCUAGUUCAACGGCCGCGGUAUCCUAACCGUGCGAAGGUAGCGUAAUCACUUGUUCUUUAAAUGAGGACUAGUAUGAAUGGCACCACGAGGGUUAAACUGUCUCCUUUUUUUAAUCAGUGAAACUAAUCUCCCCGUGAAGAAGCGGGGAUUCUUUUAUAAGACGAGAAGACCCUAUGGAGCUUUAAACAAGUUAACACCUGCUACUAAUCUUCACUUUCCUGAACCACCACAUUAAGUAUAGCACCUCUGAUUAACAGUUUUCGAUUGGGGUGAUCAUGGAGCAAAAAUCAACCUCCACGACGAAAAGGAACACCUCCUUGAGCCAAAAGCUACAACUUUAAGCACUAAAAAACUAAUGACCCAAUUCUUUGAGCAACGAACCAAGUUACCCUAGGGAUAACAGCGCAAUCCACUUUAAGAGCUCCUAUCGACAAGUGGGUUUACGACCUCGAUGUUGGAUCAGGGUAUCCCAGUGGUGCAGCCGCUACUAAAGGUUCGUUUGUUCAACGAUUAAAACCCUACGUGAUCUGA
rnacentral:rRNA from 1 species